UAAAAUUUAUAAAAUUAGGUAGUAAAGAAUUUUCUGAAACCUAAAGAAUUUGGCGGUAUUUUAAAUAAUUGGAGGAACCUGUUAUUUAAUUGACAACCCACAACAAAUCUUACCUAAAUUUUAUUUGUAUAUCGUCGUUUUUGAUAAUAUUUAAAAAUUAUGAUCAAUAAAAAUAAAUUUUUUAAAAUCAGAUCAAGGUGCAGUAUAUUUAGGGUAUAAUGGGUUACAAUAUAAUUAUAUAUAACGGAUUUAAAAUUGAAAUCAUACUGAAGGUGGAUUCAAAAGUAAUAUUAAAUUAAAAUGUUAAUUUGGUUAAAAAUUUAGAAUAUGC
rnacentral:rRNA from 1 species